CCUACGGGGGGCUGCAGUGGGGAAUAUUGCACAAUGGGCGAAAGCCUGAUGCAGCGACGCCGCGUGAGUGAUGAAGUAUUUCGGUAUGUAAAGCUCUAUCAGCAGGGAAGAUAAUGACGGUACCUGACUAAGAAGCUCCGGCUAAAUACGUGCCAGCAGCCGCGGUAAUACGUAUGGAGCAAGCGUUAUCCGGAUUUACUGGGUGUAAAGGGAGUGUAGGCGGUCUAGAAAGUCUGAUGUGAAAACCCGGGGCUCAACCGCGGGAUUGCAUUGGAAACUUUUAGACUAGAGUAUCGGAGAGGCAAGCGGAAUUCCUGGUGUAGAGGUGAAAUUCGUAGAUAUCAGGAAGAACAUCGGUGGCGAAGGCGGCUUGCUGGACGACAACUGACGCUGAGGCUCGAAAGCGUGGGAAGCGAACAGGAUUAGAUACCCCAGUAGUC
rnacentral:rRNA from 1 species